rnacentral:RNase_MRP_RNA from 1 species
GCUCGUGCUGAAGGCCUGUUUCCUAGGCUACAGACGAAGGACUUGUUCCUUAUUUGCGCCUAGGGGAAAGUCCCCGGACCGUACGGUAGAGAGUGCCGCGUGCGCGGGCACGUAGACCCUCCCUGCUUUACACCCUAAACCCGCCAAGAUGCGAUCCUGCCCUUGGUGGGGGAGCUGAGCGGCGUGCUGCAGGGCGUCAUCCGUCAGUUCUUCUAGUUACGCAGGCAGUGCGCCUUCCCCGCGCACCAACCACACGGGGCUCAUUCUCAGCGCGGC